rnacentral:lncRNA from 1 species
CCGAAGGGAGUACUGUUAUUAUACAUGCUGCUCAAAAUACAGUCUCAAGAACAACGAUCUGUGAAAAAGAAAAUAACAAAACUCGUAUAUUCGUAUAUGAAGUUGUGAAGCUCUGCUUCACAUCUAUCUAUUACUUCCUUUGUAACCGAAAUAUAAAAACGUUUAGAUUGCUAUUUUAGUAACCUAACAUUUUUUUUAUAGAGGGAGUAUAUGAUAACGACUGUACGGUACUAUCUGUUACUGAAUUCGCGGACCUCCUCCGUCCUGCAUCAAUGGCGGCACGGGUGGCCUCAUUUCUCCAGAAGACGAAAUACCGUCCAGCUUCAGCUGCAC